CAGGAUGGGCCCGCGGCGCAUUAGCUAGUUGGUGAGGUAACGGCUCACCAAGGCGACGAUGCGUAGCCGACCUGAGAGGGUGACCGGCCACACUGGGACUGAGACACGGCCCAGACUCCUACGGGAGGCAGCAGUAGGGAAUCUUCCGCAAUGGACGAAAGUCUGACGGAGCAACGCCGCGUGAGCGAAGAAGGUCUUCGGAUCGUAAAGCUCUGUUGUCAGGGAAGAACAAGUACCGUUCGAACAGGGCGGUACCUUGACGGUACCUGACGAGGAAGCCACGGCUAACUACGUGCCAGCAGCCGCGGUAAUACGUAGGUGGCAAGCGUUGUCCGGAAUUAUUGGGCGUAAAGCGCGCGCAGGCGGUUCCUUAAGUCUGAUGUGAAAUCUCGCGGCUCAACCGCGAGCGGCCAUUGGAAACUGGGGAACUUGAGUGCAGGAGAGGGGAGCGGAAUUCCACGUGUAGCGGUGAAAUGCGUAGAGAUGUGGAGGAACACCAGUGGCGAAGGCGGCUCUUCUGGCCUGUAACUGACGCUGAGGCGCGAAAGCGUGGGGAGCGAACAGGAUUA
rnacentral:rRNA from 1 species